AGCGGUAGCACGGGGUAGCUUGCUCCUGGGUGACGAGCGGCGGACGGGUGAGUAAUGUCUGGGAAACUGCCUGAUGGAGGGGGAUAACUACUGGAAACGGUAGCUAAUACCGCAUAACGUCUACGGACCAAAGUGGGGGACCUUCGGGCCUCAUGCCAUCAGAUGUGCCCAGAUGGGAUUAGCUAGUAGGUGGGGUAAUGGCUCACCUAGGCGACGAUCCCUAGCUGGUCUGAGAGGAUGACCAGCCACACUGGAACUGAGACACGGUCCAGACUCCUACGGGAGGCAGCAGUGGGGAAUAUUGCACAAUGGGCGCAAGCCUGAUGCAGCCAUGCCGCGUGUGUGAAGAAGGCCUUCGGGUUGUAAAGCACUUUCAGCGAGGAGGAAGGGUUCAGUGUUAAUAGCACUGUGCAUUGACGUUACUCGCAGAAGAAGCACCGGCUAACUCCGUGCCAGCAGCCGCGGUAAUACGGAGGGUGCAAGCGUUAAUCGGAAUUACUGGGCGUAAAGCGCACGCAGGCGGUUUGUUAAGUCAGAUGUGAAUCCCCGCGCUUAACGUGGGAACUGCAUUUGAAACUGGCAAGCUAGAGUCUUGUAGAGGGGGGUAGAAUUCCAGGUGUAGCGGUGAAAUGCGUAGAGAUCUGGAGGAAUACCGGUGGCG
rnacentral:rRNA from 1 species